AAUGAACGCUGGUGGCAGACCUAACACAUGCAAGUCGAACGAUUUAUAAAAACUUCGGUUUUUGUAAAGAGUGGCAAACGGGUGAGUAAUGCAUGGGAAUCUACCUAGAAGUUUGGGGAUAACUAUUAGAAAUAGUAGCUAAUACCGGAUACACCCUGAGGGGGAAAGUUGACUUUAAGUCUUCGCUUUUAGAUGAGCCCAUGUUAAAUUAGUUAGUUGGUGGGUAAUAGCCUACCAAGACGAUGAUUUAUAGCUGGUCUUAGAGGAUGAUCAGCCACACUGGAAUUGAGAUACGGUUCAGACUCCUACGGGAGGCAGCAGUGGGGAAUAGGGGGGGGUUACAAUGGGCGCAAGCCUGAUCCAGUCAUGCCACGUGAGUGAUGAAGGUCUUAGGAUUGUAAAACU
rnacentral:rRNA from 1 species